rnacentral:rRNA from 1 species
GGCUCAGGAUGAACGCUAGCGGCAGGCUUAACACAUGCAAGUCGAGGGGCAGCGUGGAGUAGCAAUACUCUGACGGCGACCGGCGAAAGGGUGAGUAACGCGUGAGCAACAUGCCCGAUAGUGGAGGAUAGUCGAUGGAAACGUCGCGUAAUACUCCGUAACAUAAGGGACCGCAUUGAUCCUUUAUUAAUAGAUUUAUUGCUAUCGGAUUGGCUCGCGUACCAUUAGCUAGUUGGCGGGUAACGGCCCACCAAGGCGACGAUGGUUAGGGGUUCUGAGAGGAAGGUCCCCACAUUGGAACUGAGACACGGUCCAGACUCCUACGGGAGGCAGCAGUGAGGAAUAUUGGACAAUGGCCGGAAGGCUGAUCCAGCCAUGCCGCGUGCGGGAAGACGGCCCUAUGGGUUGUAAACCGCUUUUGUUGGGGAGCAAUAAGGUCCACGAGUGGAUUGAUGAGAGUACCCAGCGAAUAAGCAUCGGCUAACUCCGUGCC